AGUGAACGCUGGCGGUAGGCCUAACACAUGCAAGUCGAACGGCAGCACAGUAAGAGCUUGCUCUUACGGGUGGCGAGUGGCGGACGGGUGAGGAAUACAUCGGAAUCUACUUUUUCGUGGGGGAUAACGUAGGGAAACUUACGCUAAUACCGCAUACGACCUACGGGUGAAAGCAAGGGAUCUUCGGACCUUGCGCGUUUGAAUGAGCCGAUGUCGGAUUAGCUAGUUGGCUAGGUAAAGGCACACCAAGGCGACGAUCCGUAGCUGGUCUGAGAGGAUGAUCGGCCACACUGGAACUGAGACACGGUCCAGACUCCUACGGGAGGCAGCAGUGGGGAAUAUUGGACAAUGGGCGCAAGCCUGAUCCAGCCAUACCGCGUGGGUGAAGAAGGCCUUCGGGUUGUAAAGCCCUUUUGUUGGGAAAGAAAAGCAGCAGGUUAAUACCCCGCUGUUCUGACGGUACCCAAAGAAUAAGCACCGGCUAACUUCGUG
rnacentral:rRNA from 1 species